AUGGCCUCGGGAAACUUCCUCAUGCCGGCUGGGAACACCUGCAAACGCCGUCAUUCCUGCCGGUCUUUUCCUGCAGGGGCUUCAGAAAUCUCGAGUCACGUCUUAGUGGCUUUGCCGCGAGGGUCUCAGCGUGUUCCAAGACGUGAGGUGUAUCUGUCUCUAUAGAAUGCAACAGCAAGAUCUUGAAGUGAUGAUUACAGCCAAAACAUACGAUUUCAUGUUCAGCUGAUUGCUUUUGACCAGUUUGAGAACAUUAGGAGUUUACGGAAAUCCUUGUGGAGGACCCACAGCAAGUGACCAGAGGAACAGCCACACCAGGCCUGCAAGAUCUCUGUGCAUAAAUCUCCCUGGUUUUCAUGCCUAGUGAGUAGCUCCAAGAGGUCUGUUCUGUCUAUCCUUCUGCCCAGGUAAGAUGCUCUGAUCGAAUAUUAUGUUUGCUCUUGGUGUGAGGACUCAGAUUUCUCCCCAUCCCAUGCUUCCCAUGUGGAACCAAAGGUACUAGCUCAGAGUACAGGAAUAAGCACAGUGAUGCUGGUGUGUGGAGUGAGUUACAGACCUUUUUCUUACCUAAGGCAGCAUUUGAAAGAUGCCAAAGGAAAUCGAGUUCUGCAUUCGCGCUGUGCAGAUAUGAGGAUUUUGCCUGGCACAAGGGACUGGAUAAGUUAUCAAGGUAUAACAAACAAAUUACAGAAUUACUGUGUUUUCACGUGUGAAACAUGAGUCUCGUAUCACCGUGGAUAAAUUAUUCCUCUGUGAAAGCAAGUCCUCAGAUAGCCUGUAUCCUCAGAUAACCUAGCUAUUACACAUGGGAAUGUACACUGGCUUUUAUCAGCUGGAUUUGGGAAUGAAAUGCAGGCGGGCGAGUCCAGAGACUGCUGACGUGGCAGCUUUCCUCUCCCUCCUCAUGCUGUCCCUCUGGCUCUGCUCUCUACAUCCCCGUGUCCACUGCAGGUUCUGGGAAGGCUGCAGGCGCUGCAGGCGCUGAGACACUGGAAUCUGUGGAAGUGAGGGAGCUUAAAAUAGGACAAGCAGUGGGGAAGGAUGGAAUGUGACACUACAUGCAGACCAAGAGCAUCACAUGAGACAAUACACAAGUGUUUUACUCCAGAUGCCCUCCCUUUGUGAGGGACCACAUGGGGUGUCCUUACAGUUCCCACCAGAGUUCUUACAGUGCAACAAUAUGGUGCAAACACUGAAGAUCAAGUUGGGCAUUGAAAUACAAAAGUAUUGGGAGGGCUUGAGGAAAACGUUUUGGUUUUUUUUCUUUGACUGAGAGGCUCAUAACAGCAGCAUUGCACAGGAGCCGUGCACAGGCUGUGAGCAACACAUACAAAAAGCCCCUUUUCUGAACCCAGGAGGAAAACGCUGCAGGACCAGAGUGACCUUGCACCCGUAUUCCUGGGCAACAGGUUUGCUUAUAAAAUCUGCAUCAGAGACUUCCGUGCAAUUAGGUCAUUCGAUCUUUGAUCAUUUUUCUGUUCCAUAAGGUACAGAGCAUAUUUACAUUCAACUCGCAGGUUCUUUCUUCAAUUCCUUGACAACAGACCGCUCUAAUUAUGUGUGUGCUGACAGGACUACAGAGAGCUCCCAUGUGACCGCGGUGGAAGGGAAGAAAGCUUAUCACCAGGUGACAGAAGAAUGCCCUUAUUGUUAGCGCCAAUACUUACAAAUAAACCUUUCCAGGGUGUCACAUACCGGUAUAAAUACACCACUCCUGUGGCAUUGAGCUAAUAUGUUAAUAAAGCAGGAAUUGAGGAAGGGCUGUACCUGAGCUGCUUCCUCCGGGACACAAGCACCUUAAGAUUUCGCGUGGGUUAGCUGUAUGAACUAAGGGCUUUGUGGCCCACAACGCAAAGUAUCCGAAUUAAUAAAAUGUUCGCUAAUAUGCUCAGAGGAGGAUCCGUGACCCUCCUCGUGUCCCAGUCUUCCCUUCGGCUGCGGUUCCCAGUUCUGCUGUGGUAGCUCCUGAGAGUCCUCAGCCCCAGGGCAGGGCUUGGAUGUGCUAAGUGCUGUGCAAACACUGCGGCACAAAAUGGAUUCUGCUCUGAAAAGAUGAGCUCGCUUCCCAGCCUGACAGACACUGCAAUGUUCAAAGAACAACUCCAGCUUUAUUGCAGCACAGGUUAACAGAAUUAGAUCCCCCGAGCCAAAAUUUGCAUGGGAGAAAAUAGAAGUAUUUGUUAGAUCGUGGCUUCUCAUCACAGGGCACAGGGGGGAGAACUUUCA